AAGGGUUACAAGGAAAGAAAGAACAAAUUUUGUAGGAAAUGCAAGUUACCGAGAGGGGCAUUGGAGUGUUUUUUUUAAAAAACAUUAUUGGAUUAAAUUUGCUAAAAUCUAAAAUUAAUUUAACUUGAUAAGUCUUGUAAGACUACAAGGGAUAAGGAAAAUAAAUAAAAAGCCACAUAGUAGGGCAAACAAGUAGCUGGGUGGAGGACUUUGAUGGGAGGAAAAAGUGUGCAACUUCGGCCAGAAAUUUAAGGUCUGAAAAAUGUGAUGGUUCUCCCAAAAUACUCGUGCAAAAGCUUCCAUAUUUAAACCAGAUUAAAGCUUAUUGAGUUGUGAGUCUAUUCUAGGGCUGCUCGAGAGAUUUGGGAUCGGAAAAAUGAAGAAAUCGUGAAAAUAGUGAAGGUUGCCCGGAAAACUGGAAAAUCCGAGUAAGGUGUAGUCCAGGAGAGAUUCUGAGCUCUGGAAUACGAGUUAAGAGCUGUAAUUUUGAGGUUAGUUAGCUUAAAGGUUUAUUAACAUAUUUCAUGAAGGAAGUAUGUGCAAAUUUUCGCUUUAAGUUGGGUUAAAAGUUGGUUAAAGUGAAACCAGUGUUUUCUCGAACAGGGUAGCAGCAGGCCAGCUCCCCCUAAGGCUGCCAGCCCCACCAGCGCGCCUCCUUCCGUGCCAGCGCCCUCAGCACGCAUUAGCCCAUUCAGCCCUGCCCACCCACGGCCAGCCUCGCCCACCCACGCCCACAGCCUGCGCCCAUGCCCAUUUCUAGUGCCCAAUUGCUUGUUUUAUAGCAUUUUGGGUGUUGGUCAAAUUGAAGUUGGAAAGGCUUACAACCCAAGGAGCUCGUGCCAGUGAUAAUAAACGAGCAAAGGAGACCAUCGGGAUGAUUCGGGUGCAUUUCAAGUCAAAACGGAGCAAGUAGAAGAAAAGGGAGCAAAAUUACAAUUUUGUCCUUGGAGGGAGUGCAAGGCUGCCCUUGCUCAGCGCCUUAUGCUGUGCGCAAAGGCAGAAUGCCCAAUUUGGCGAGAGUGUCACGGCACUCUCCAACAACGCAGUGCAACACUGCGUACGAGGUAUUUGGUCCGAUGGAUAUUACAGUCAAGGUUUAAAAUGUCGAUGGACAUACCAAGGUGUUAAUUCUAGUUUAUGGAAAUAUUGAUAAAUGUAGGUGUUGAUGGAUAUUUCUAAAAAAAUUUAAAAACAAAGAAUUUUCUUAAAAAAUUGUUAAAAAUUAGUAAAUAAACAUUUUAAGAUUUUUAAAAGGGGAAAAUAUCCUUUUGGUCCCUAAGUUUUUAAGAAUAGGUGCAUUUGGUCCCUAAUGUUUCAAAUUGGCCAUUUUAAUCCCCGAAUUUUUAAGAAUAGGUCUAAAAAGUCCCUCAACUGAAAGUCUUUUAAAUUUAAACAUAAAAUUGAUUAAAUACAAUAUGGCAAGAUGACUUGGAAAUAAAUAUAUUUUUUUAAUCUUUCUCAUUUCUCUCUCUCCUCUCUCUUCUCUCUCACCUCUUUCUUCAUCUUCUCCUCCUCUCCCUCCACUUUCUUGUCCUCACUCCUCCAUUUCCAUCUUCUCUCUUUAUCUCUCAUUUUUCUAUGAAGAAGCUCAUGAAAUUUGUUCACUUCUCUCUUCUUUCUAUUAUCUCUCUUAUCCUCUCUCCUCCGUCUCCAUCUUCUCUCUGUCUCUCAUUUUUAAAAACAAAAAAAAAAAGUUUUUACUGUGUUAAAGUAAUUUCUAUUAUUUAUUUUGAUUUUCUAUUUCUUUUUUAUUCUGAUUUUCUAAUUUUUUCCAGCUGUUUUCUCAUGGUGUUUACUGCUUUUUGUGUGUGUGUGUGUGUGUGUGUUUUCUAAAUAAAAAAAAAUUGCAUUUACUGGUUUUGGUGUUUUUCUUGGUGGCUUUUUUUCCCCUUUUUUGGUUGUUUCAAGAAUGGUUUUACGAUUCAACUAUUUUAAUUUAUAGAAAAUUAUAAUAAAAAUAGAAAUUACUUAUACAUAGUAUAUAGAAAAAUGAGAGAUAAAAGAGAGAAGAUAGAGAUGGAGAAGAGAGGACAAGGGAGAGAAGAAAUAAGAGAAAAAAAUAUGAGAUAAAGAAAAGAGAGAAGUGAGCAAAUUUCGUUAGCUUCUCCAUAGAAAAAUGAGAGACAGAGAUAAGAUGGAGAUGGAGGAGAGAGGACAAGAGAGUGAAGAGAGAGUGAAGAGAGAGAAGAGGAGAAGAUGAAGAGAGAGAAGAGAGAGAAGAGAGAAAUGAGAAAGAUUAAAAAAUAUAUUUGUUUCCAAGUCAUCUUGUCACAUCGUAUUUAAUCAUUUUUAUGUUUAAAUCUAAUAGACUUUUAGUUGAGGGACCUUUUAAACUUAUUCUUACAAACUCGGAGAUCAAAAUGGUCAAUUUGAAACAUUAGGGACCAAAUGCACUUUUAGUUGAGGGACCUUUUAAACUUAUUCUUACAAACUCGGAGAUCAAAAUGGUCAAUUUGAAACAUUAGGGACCAAAUGCACCUAUUCUUGAAAACUCAGGAACCAAAAGGGUAUUUUUCCCUUUUAAAAAAAUUAACUUGUUUAUUAUUGAUAUGAUUUUUAUAUUAAUGACAUUUUGUUGCAUAUAUUGUUAUCUUUCAUGAAUUUUUCUACGAUCUAAUGGACAUGCCGAUUUACCCAUCAUGUCGGUGUCAAACAAGUGGAAAUGUGGAAAUAUCGAUGGAAAUACCGAGAUGUCAAGAGAAAUGCAAUACAUGAUUACAGCAAGUAACAAACUGCAACGAAUUUUUAUAUUUUCAAUAGUUGAGCACCAGAAAUUUCUAAACAUUUUGACUUUAGUCCAUACCAACACUAUUCACCAAACUACUCUUAGCUUAUAUUCUUUUCCAACCAUUAAGUACAAAAUGAU